ensembl:lncRNA
GGAGGGGAGCAGGGUAGAGCUUGGACACCUGCUGAUACCAAGUGUCACUGGAGCAGGACUGUAAAGGGAGCCACUAGGGUAUCUUUGCAAAAGAGAACAAAUGGGUAAUUCAGAAGGGAAGAAUUUAUUGGAGUCAAGUUGACCUUGGCUGGGAGUGAACUCAGCGGGGCCUCACUACUUCAUGGACUAGGACUUAAGUCUCUUGGUAGUAGCCAUUCACAGAAGAGCUAAACUCACCCAACUCAGUUAUCUGACAUGCCCAUUUGAGUCAAUAUAAAGCUUUGGUCAGAAUCCUAAGAUAAUACAAAGCCAAAUUAUGGAGGGGCAAGAAGCUUAUGCCACUUGUAGCCUGCUAAUACUGGGCAGAAAUGUCUGCUACAGACCCUUACACUGCAGGUGGCAUUACUGGUUUUCUGGAACCAGACUGGAGAAAGAAUGAAAUUAGCUUGCUCAACUGAAAGCAGUGCCCAGCUUUUCUGAUGUGUGGUUGCUGACCCCACCUGAAGUAAAGGUAACUCCAGAAAGCCCAGCCUUCUGGCCACACUUGCCCAGAAAUAAAAGAGGGUGUGGGAUCCCCACAGCCAGGAGGCUCCACUGCGGGAAGUUCUGCCUGUGAACUGGCCAGUGAGGUGACUGCCACAGCUGCUGCUCACAGCAAAAGUCUUCCCCCCUGGAGCAGUGAGCAUUCUGCAUCCAGAACUUGUAGGGCAAACCAAACACACACACCCUACACCACCCCAGCUUCCCUCUGAGUGCUUCCCUGGCUCAUUCCUGCAUCUCCCUCCCUCCCAAAGCCCCAGAAACUAACCCCACAGCUUUAUCCAGCCCUGCUGAGUUGGGCGGGAGAGGUGAGAAGUGAUGAUUGGUUGCCUCCAUCUCAUCCAGGGAGCAGGGACACUCGAUGGGACCCUGAUAAGGAAUAUCAUCUCUAGGAGUGACAUUGACUUGAAUCUUAUCAAGUGUCAGUUCAGUAAGAUGUAUGGCAAAACCCUCAGCAGCAUGAUCACGGUAGUUGGUGAGGGAUUCAAAAGGUGACACAAAGGAAUCCUCCAGAAUGAAGAACAAGAAAGGAUGACACCAGUGGUGACUACAAGAACGCCCUCCCUGAACCUGGUGGGAAGUGACCCAUGAAGUCACUGAAGAAUGAGAGCCAAGACCAAGAAGCAGGGGUCUCCAGGCCCUGCCCCCAUGACCUUGGCCAUGGGUGGGGGUUGAGGGGCCCUCAGCCAGCUUCCAGUCUUUAUCUCCUAGUGCUUUCUGGCCAACAUUUCUGACCCAGAGGAUGACACCAGCCCCAGCUCCUCCUUCCAUCUUCUCUCCCAGAUCAUCUCUAGGUCAUGCACAAAGACUUUAGCAAAGCUCUUGCUGGACAAAUAUGUCAGCCUACAGGGGCUCAUGGGUCAUUUCUUCCUCCUAGACAGAGCCUGCCUGAGCUUAACUGGUCACAGAAUUACCUGGGCAUAGGUUAUGCAGAUACCUUGGCCCAGUCCCAUCUACAGAAUCAAGGGUCCCCCAGGAGGACUAGGGAACAUAGAUCUCUAACAAGUGUCUCAGUCAUUUGCUUCCUUAUCACCCACCAGCCAGAGGGCCCUAAGAGCCCUUUUGUAGUAGAGCACAGGCCCCUGAAUUGCUGAGAAAGGGAUGCAUAUCCAUGUCAAUUGGGAUGCCACCAGUCUCCUUGAAAAAGUCAGACUCUGACAUCCUCACACUAUCCUGAUGACAGAGUAAUUGGACUACAGAGCAAUGUCCUGACCCAAGGGCUCUAUGUCCUAGAAGCUCAGGCUUCCUGGUUGUUCAGCAGUUCUGCUCUGUCCUCUGUGACACAGCAUGCAGCACAGGGGAUGACAACCCUGAGCAUGACUCAUCCCGACCCAAGGCCACCAAGCCUGGAGACCUGCAGAGGCCUCAUUUUCAUCUUCCUAGAUAUUUUCUGGGCUUUCAGAAUAAUAAACAUCUGCAUAUUCAGAAAGGGUCUUUGGAUUUGUACCAGUGACCAGAGCAAGGCCAGUUUCAUUGGCCAGAAGCAGAGUUUCAGAGCUACCCAACCUGAGCACACUUGUGGGCAUCCUCUGAGGGACCGCUGGGUGGUCACUGGUACCACUGGUGGGUACCACUGGUGGGUACCAGUGGUGGAUGCUCACUGUUGCCCCAGGCAUGACACUUGUAGAUGAGGAUAGUUUCUUUUAACAUCUAUUUUGUACUCUAAAUUCUGACAUCUCUGGGUUGGAAGGGGCUUUUAAAUGUCACCUGGUUUCUUCCUACUGCACCUUGACUGCCCUCCAAGGCACAUGCUCCACAUCAUCCUUGGUGCACGUGGUCUGUACUUGUUGUACAUGGGGUGUACUUGGCUGCUUCCAGUGACAGGAACUCACAGCUUCCUUGGGUGGCCCAGUCUUUUCCCAAAAAGUGAUUCACAGUGUUCACCCUUAACUGAGCCAAAAUCUACCCUCUUGUGUCCACUGCAGUCUGUCAUCUAGGGCUACAACAUUUGUCCUUUCCCAAUAGCAACGUUUGGUAUCAUAAGCAGCCCACCUAUUCCACUAAAAUUUCUGCCAAAGUUAGAGGUCCCCAGUCCUUCCAACUGCCCCUCCUGGAACCUCAUCAGGGGCCAUGGGCUCUGCCUCUGAACAUGAUCCCGUUCAUAAACUCCAGGGUGUGGCCCCAGGAGUAAAGGGCACACCCUGGAAUUCAAGAUCAGGGGGAUGACACAGGGUGGGCUCUGAGCUCACACAGAUGGGAGGUGGAUCCUGGCUCUGCCCUGUGCUGGCUCCAUGACGCUGAGCUAACAUUCUCUCUCCCUCUCUCUCUCUCUCUCUC